GCAGGGUCUGAUCUCUGCACCCCGGGCCCCCGCGCAGACCCGCGGACGAGCGCUGGGUGGGGAUUUCAACCUGCUCCAGCUGAUGUGCGCGGGGUUUGCACCCCGGGGAGGCGAGGGAGAGAGUCCGGCCACGUCCUGCCAGGCCCCGCCCGCGCCCCCGCUGCCCUCCAGCGCGGAACCCAGGUCCCAGGAGACGCGAGGCGCCCAAGGCCCCGGGAUUCCGAGCCAGUCAACCCCGGGCCGCGACGCUCUGGGAACCACACCCGUCCAGGAAGGCACCUUGGCCAAAGCCGGCUCCUUCGCAGAUGACCCGGGCCAGGGUCCGAGCGCCAGGCUGUGACCCCGCGAGGCUGUUCCACGCUGGCCGCGAGAGACGGAGGGCAGGAGGGGCCCGAAUAGGACAGAGAGAGAGAGAGAGAGAGACAGAAGGAGGCGCACGCGCUCCCCAGGGACCGGGACGCGGUGGUGGGCGGGACCUCGCGGGGGUGGGGGGUGGUCGCAGGACCCAGAAGGCUCAGGACCUUUACGGAUAGGGAGGACCCCGCAGGGGGGAGCGGGGGAGCCCCACGCCCGGCGUCCUCCGGGUGCGAGGGUCUCGGGGAGUCCGAGCCCGGGCCCACGGCCUCUGUCCCGCGGCCACUACCUGCUGGGGGUCCCGGGCCUGGGCCACGCCGGGCUGCCCUCGGGGACUUGCUGCGGCCGUUGAGGGGUCUCCGCGCGCCGCGCAGACUCGCCUCCCAACCCGAGGGCCCGGGCGGCCGCCGCCCAGAGCGUCCAGCGGCAGCGUCUUGCUCUCGAAGGCGUCCUCCACGCAGCGGAACACGCAGCCAAGCUUGGGCCGGGCCAGAGGCCUCGCGGGCUCCUGAGGCUGCCGCGCGGUCACGGCAGGAGCGGGCGACAGAAUCCGGUCUCGGAGCCUCCUGUAGCGAGGUCUGCGCGGCAGGUGCACUGGGCGGACCUGGAGGCCGCGCCCUCCCCCCCCGCCUCCUGCCGCCCGGCAGCGCUGCGCGGAGCUGGCUCUGUCCACGUAGCGGGUGCUGAACGCCCCAUUCUGGCCCCUGGGUGCUCGCUUAGUCCCGGCCACGCGUGGCUGCUCGCCCUCGGGACACACUGGGCGCUGGGAAGGCCGGGCGGGGAGCGCGCACCGGAGAAACCGCUGUGGGAAUCCCGGCCACAUUUCCAGGCCCCUUGGGCCGUCCCACGCCAGACAAGAAAGCCCUGACUCCGAAACCCUGGGCGAGUGUGGAGGGCGCGCGGGGGUGGGGUGUACCCGCCCACGCAAACUGCUGCUGAUCUCCCUUAAAGCCGAGUUAGAGGCUUGGGGCGAGACAGGAGUGACGGGCGAUGCUGUCACUCCAUCUGUCAUUCUACCCAGCCUGCAGCAGCUGAAUUCGAACCCAGAGACUUCAGGCCUUUGCGUUGUUACCGCAGUCCGCAUUUCAAAGCCAGAGUUUGGCCACUGAGUCACCAUGACCUCGAGUACUGGCGGGGCCCGAGCCAGCAGAGCUAGCCACAGGAGGGAGCCUCCCAGGUGGUCGACCGGAGCCAGGUGCUGCCAGGCACCCGACUGCAGAGCUUGCCCUCCAGGUGAUCUCGCAGUAUCGGUGUUCACAAGCCCUGUAAGGCACUCGGGGUAUCCUGAAGGCUACAGAUUCUGCAAGGGCAGAGACUUUAAGGAACAGCCAUAGUCCUUCUCCAGCUCAAAAUCUGGACCAUGGGCACAAGGUUGUCCCGGAACCAUCGAUCUCUAGAAGGUACAGGAGGAAGGGGACCUGCCAGUCCAGCCCUCAUAUUUUACAGAGGGAAAAGGUGAAGCCCCAUGUAAAACAGGGAUUUCCCUCGGUGACACUUCCAGGCUGAGAAGGGCCGGGGAUCUGGACACCUACCCAGAAACACUCCCACCCUGUCAAUGCCUCUCUGAAUUAUGUGAUCAACUGCCUGGAGUAUGAACUAGGCACAUGCAAAUAGAGAACAGAGGUCUUGUUGAAAAUAUGAUGCUGAAUUUUAAAAACUCACUCCCCAAAUUAAAGGAACAAGACCAGAGCA
rnacentral:lncRNA from 1 species